rnacentral:lncRNA from 1 species
UUCCAAUCAUCAGUCCUCUUAACUUGCUACGUUCAGGAUCAUCCCUUCCACAAGAUAUAGUACCGUACCUAAUCUGGCUUUCUGCAUCCACUUUUUAUAUAGCACCAGAUAAACCUUUUCAGGUACAAAUAUGGUUGUAGCAAUGUCCUUUUUAACGCUCUUUAAUAGUUGCCCGUUGCUCUUGGAAUAAAAAUACUCAGGCUUUAUGGCCCUUACGGUUCAACCUUUUUCAUUUCCCCCACCUUAGUGACAUUUCCCCCCCGGGUUCUCUCCCACAGAUUUUUCUGCAGAAAAUUUAUUCCACCAUCGCUCGUGGCACUCUACCAUACAUUUUUGCUUGUUAAAUCAUACUUCUCAGAGCUCAAGAGUCGUUUAAAGGUACCUGUUUAUGACCACCCUUACCAUAUGGGCCAGGUGUGGUGGUAUAUGCCUAUAAUACCAGACUUGGGAGCCUAAGCCAGGAAGAUUUCAAGUUAAGGGCCAACCUGGACUAUGUUGCAGACCCUACCUCAAAAAAACCAACUAACAAACAAACACUAUCUUCUUAAUUCUUAAGAAGCUACUUAAGAUCGCAUUGCUGGCAAAAGCAUUAAAAUAAAAUUAAAAUUAUUCCUUCAGACU